rnacentral:rRNA from 1 species
UACAGAGGGUGCGAGCGUUGUCCGGAAUUAUUGGGCGUAAAGAGCUCGUAGGCGGCCUGUUGCGUCCGCUGUGAAAUCCCGGGGCUCAACCCCGGGCCUGCAGUGGAUACGGGCUGGCUGGAGGCAGGCAGGGGAGAACGGAAUUCCUGGUGUAGCGGUGAAAUGCGCAGAUAUCAGGAGGAACACCGGUGGCGAAGGCGGUUCUCUGGGCCUGUUCUGACGCUGAGGAGCGAAAGCGUGGGGAGCGAACAGG